GAGAUUUCAUCUGAUCCAAAGUGCAACUUUUCUAGUUUAUUCUAUUGCCAGGGGGAUUUCCACCUUUUAAAGGGUGGUGGAAGUGGAAAGUAAAGUUUUGUACUCUGCUCGCUCUGCCAAAACAGAACAUUUAAUGAAAGUAAAAUAAACAAAUGUCACAAAAAUGCCUGAAUUUUUGCACAGAGAGAUUCACAGAGAGAUCCGAGAUGUGGGCUGAGAAGGGCGAUGGCAAGAAAAUAAGUGGAACCCUUUGUAAAUAAGACAUAUUUGGAUGACGCAUUUCAAGCAGUAACUCCUCUUUCCAGCUGUGUUAUCCUGAGGUGACGGCGGUAAAGAAAAACUCCCUGAGAUGUUAUGAGGAUGAAACCUCUUGAGGAACCAGAUUUGGGUGACACUGGACAGGAAAUAAUGUCAAUGUAAAUAAUGUCCUUUCUGGAACAGUGGAAUUAAACAACCAAGAGCUCCUGAGGAACUAACAGGUCAGAGUCAUUUCUGAAUUCAUUACAG